UUUGCCUAAACCCCUGUGUCCCUACCUGGAAGCCCUCCACGGUGGACUGGGUUUUCAUCCUCGAUGUGCAGGCCCAGCCGCCAAAGCUCCCUCGUCUGAGCUGUUAACUCUGGAGUCUGGAAAACCUGGGCUCCACCUCCACACGCUGCCUUUUACAGCCCUGUGGAUCUGUCACAACACUUACUGGCCCCAGUUACACCUGAGCAGAAAGGGCAGCUCAUCUCCCUCAACGAGUACAAACAUCUACAGGAGCAGAAGCUUUUCUCAUGCUUGAGUGGCUCCAUACAUCUUCUCUGUGAGUUUUCCUUCAAACCUGGAGACUGGAAUCCUCAUCUGUCUACAGACCCACCAAGCCGAUGAGACACCCACAACCUAAAAUCCUCAAGAUUAUCCACGCACUGUGAUGACUGCCUUCUAGCGUAAUCUCUUUAUGUUGGGAUGGUCUUGAGGUCUUUAUAGAUCCAGCCUCAAAGCACUUAGAAUUCCAAGCAUCAGGUAUCUGUUGUGCUUGUUCACGAGCAGUUUGUGAUUCUGAAGCUGGACCAGAACCACCCAAGGCAUCUGCUGAAUUUGCGUUACUGGCACAAGUCCCACUGCUCUGCCAUGUAAUGGGCCAGUUAGUUCGAGAGACCAGGCGUUCACGCAAGGAAGGCAACUUUAUUUGAAAAGCAGGCUCAGUGAAAAGAUGGGGGACUCUUGUCCAGAGUUCAUCUGACCAGGAAGCUGAUUCAGGAAUAGUUUAUUUUGGCAGUUGACGGCUGUUACCAGACUGGGGUUGGCUUCUCACUGUGGAUGGUGAGAUGCACAUCUGAUCCCAAUGGGCUAGUGGGCUGCUGCUUUUCAGUUCUGUACUUCUCAAGAACAAAGAUGGUUAUUUCCUCAGGCUAUGCUUAUCACAGAUUCAGUCACCCUUGGACAGACCAGAGGGUACAGCUUUCCUGAGGCUCUCUUCCUGAUCACCAAACUCUGAUGAUAAUGGAGAAAGCACUUCACUCAAAGGUGUUACAGUGGUGGGGACUGAACUCAAGGCCUCAUACAUGGUAGUGUGGAGGCCAUGGGCCUGGAAGAAAAUCCACGUGGAACAACUGCAAAUCCUCAGAACUGCCCAGAAAACCCUCAGAAUUGGGAGAAACAAAAAUCCAAUGUUUCUGAAGCCACUACACAUGGAGGCAAGAGAGACUGCUUUUCCCAUUGCUUGAAAGGGAGACUGACUUGCCCAUGACUCUGCCAGAUCCGGUGUGUUCACCCUACAAGGUGAGCUCCAGUUGUUCACAGAACACAGACCUUGGAAGCUUGAGGAGUUGUGCUCUUCCAUUUCAGUACAGCAGAAUUUGCACACUUUCACAGCACAAACACAGCUUUUGGAUCACAGCUCCUGGGAACUGCAUGGGGUCCGCUGGAUGGUGAAGACAUCCUGCCAU